rnacentral:rRNA from 1 species
AUGGAGGCUUUGAGGUGCUCAAACACUGAUAAAAUCGCUAUGGCCUUGAGGUUGCGUUGGUCAUGGUUUGAAUGGAAGGAGCCAGGGAACUUGCAGAUUGGUAUGGGAAACCGUUAUAAUGAGGAUGACCUUGAUUUCUUCUAUGCCUCUACCACCAUCACGGUGGAGAAUGGCGCUAAAACACCGUUCUGGGACUCACCAUGGCUCCUUGAACGAAAACCAAAAGAUAUUGCCCCUCUCAUUUUCAAGGCAUCAACGAGAAAAGAUUGGAAGAUGCGUGAGGCCCUCAAGGAGAAUGCUUGCAUUUAA